AUUGAACGCUGGCGGCAGGCCUAACACAUGCAAGUCGAGCGGAUGAAGGGUUCUUGCUCCUGGAUUCAGCGUCGGACGGGUGAGUAAUGCCUAUUUAUCUGCCUUGUAUUGGUGUAUAACGUCCGGAAACGGGCGCUAAUACCGCAUACGUCCUGAGGGUGAUAGUGUGGGUUCUUCGGACCUCCCGCUCUCAGAUGUGCCUAGGUCGGAUUAGCUAGUUGGUUGGGUAAAGGCCUACCAAGGCGACGAUCCGUAACUGGUAUGAGAGGAUGAUCAGUCACACUGGAACUGAGACACGGAACAGACUCCUACGGGAGGCAGCAGUGGGGAAUAUUGGACAAUGGGCGAAAGCCUGAUACAGCAAUGCCGCGUGUGAGAAGAAGGUCUUAGGAUUGGAAAGCACUUUAAGGAGGGAGGAAGGGAAGUAAGUGAAUAACUUGCUGUAUUGACGUGACCAACAGAAUAAGCACCGGCUAACUACGUG
rnacentral:rRNA from 1 species